rnacentral:rRNA from 1 species
AUGAACGCUGGCGGCGUGCCUAAUACAUGCAAGUCGAGCGAACAGACGAGGAGCUUGCUCCUCUGACGUUAGCGGCGGACGGGUGAGUAACACGUGGAUAACCUACCUAUAAGACUGGGAUAACUUCGGGAAACCGGAGCUAAUACCGGAUAACAUGUUGAACCGCAUGGUUCAACAGUGAAAGACGGUUUUGCUGUCACUUAUAGAUGGAUCCGCGUCGCAUUAGCUAGUUGGUAAGGUAACGGCUUACCAAGGCAACGAUGCGUAGCCGACCUGAGAGGGUGAUCGGCCACACUGGAACUGAGACACGGUCCAGACUCCUACGGGAGGCAGCAGUAGGGAAUCUUCCGCAAUGGGCGAAAGCCUGACGGAGCAACGCCGCGUGAGUGAAGAAGGUCUUCGGAUCGUAAAACUCUGUUAUUAGGGAAGAACAAAUGUGUAAGUAACUAUGCACGUCUUGACGGUACCUAAUCAGAAAGCCACGGCUAACUACGU